UUAACUUUAUUAUUUCAUUGGUUUAUAUUUCUUAGUCUAAGUCAUUGUGAAUGCGGCUUUAUUUUGACAUGACGCAUCUUUGACAGUGUUUGACAUUUCUUCGACUGGGUGGUAGGACUUUUCUAAUUUCUUUCUUCUAGUUGCCGGUAAUUAAGUACCUGGACUGGUCAUUUUCCUAACCAGAUUAUGGGGGCUCACCACAUUUCCACAGGUCUCUUAUUUUGUUGCUUCUUGUGUACCUUUAUAGCCCUGUGGAUAACCGCCUUGCGGGAUUUAUUAGGCAACUAUGCCAGAGGUAUUUCAUACCGUCCCGUGGCUGCAACCCACUUCGGAGGCGACCUGACGAAUGCUCUUUUGGGGAUUGUCGGCAAUACGUGCCAUUACAGCAUCUUCAAUUCCAUCACGUGCUAGACGCAGUCGUCCUCGCUCCUGCUGUACCUAGUUAACAGUCCCAUAUAAACGACUUACAAUAAAUUUAUACUUUGGCAAUAAAAAAAUACUUUUAAAGAACAA